GUAACGACUCUCGGCAACGGAUAUCUAGGCUCUCGCAUCGAUGAAGAACGUAGCGAAAUGCGAUACUUGGUGUGAAUUGCAGAAUCCCGUGAACCAUCGAGUCUUUGAACGCAAGUUGCGCCCGAAGCCAUCAGGCCGAGGGCACGCUUGCCUGGGCGUCACG
rnacentral:rRNA from 1 species